AAGGCUAUACUUUCAGGGAUCGUUUCUAUAUUUGGUUACUAAAGUUUCUCUUAUCAUGUAGAGUACCAGAAACCACAAGCAGGAGGUGUAGUGUUCCUUCCUGAGUGUGAAGCUGGCUCUUGGUGCUGCUUUGUUGCAGCUGCCACUGGCCAUUGAUGAUUGUUCUUGUUCCCUCUUCCACAGGAGUAAGAGGGAAGGAACACAGUCCGGCUGGC
ensembl:snoRNA U3 Small nucleolar RNA U3